rnacentral:rRNA from 1 species
UACGGAGGGGGUUAGCGUUGUUCGGAAUUACUGGGCGUAAAGCGCGCGUAGGCGGACCAGAAAGUUGGGGGUGAAAUCCCGGGGCUCAACCCCGGAACGGUCUCCAAAACUCCUGGUCUUGAGUUCGAGAGAGGUGAAUGGAAUUCCGAGUGUAGAGGUGAAAUUCGUAGAUAUUCGGAGGAACACCAGUGGCGAAGGCGGCUCACUGGCUCGAUACUGACGCUGAGGUGCGAAAGUGUGGGGAGCAAACAGG